UGUUUAAAGAAAGAAUUAUAAGU
rnacentral:snRNA from 1 species